GGGCAUGUGGUGUAGUUGGUUAUCACGCUCGCUUAGCAUGCCGAGUACGAUCACUCUUGGCUGCGAGAGGGGUCCGGUUCGAUCCCGGACAUGUCCA